ensembl:lncRNA
GUUUCUCUCCAAGAGAAGAUGGAGGAAGCACAGCUAAGUGACUGGAAAUUUGACAUGCCUUCAUGUCAAGAGAUACCUGUACCUCUUGGAAACAACAAGCCCUUUGUGGUACCUCAGUGGGAUCAUCAGUGGGGCAUGGCCCUCUCUUGGACAACGUUCUCAUGCUGCUUUGCAAAGAGAAUAUAUAACAGGAUUUGUACAGUUUUUAGCUAUGAAGACUAAGACCCAUAUGAACAUCUGAAUACAAAUCUUUCAACAGCCCUAUGUUAUAAUUUGCCUUGAAUAAAUAGAAGUGGAAAUGCUGGAUCAAAUGGUAACUGUGCAUGCAUGCUUAGUCAUGUCCAACUCUUUGCGACCCUAUGGACUGUAGCCCACCAGGCUCCUCUGUCCAUGGGAUUCUCCAGGGAAGAAUACUGGAGUGGGUUGCAUGCCCUCCUCCAGGGGAUCUUUCCAACAUAGGGAUCAAACCCACGUCUCUUGUGGCUCAUGCAUUGGUCGACGGAUUCUUUACCGCUGAGCAGCCGGGGAUACACAGAAGUGGGAAUGGUAGAUCGAAUGGUAAAG